AGACUAGGCCAAAGCCACGUGCUAGAUUUAGGGUAUAUUUUGAUCUAUUAAAAAAAAUUGUAUCCCCAAAAUUUGAAAAACUUCUCUUUGAAAUACACUGUUUAUGGGGAUAAAAAGACAAACAAGCUCCUGGGAGAAAAUAUUGCAAAUCAUAUAUCCAAUAAAGCGCUUGUAUCCGAAAUAUAUAGAGAACUCCCCAGUUCAACAGUUAGAAAACAUACAGCCAGAAAAACAUGGGCAAAAGACUUGAACAGACACUUCACCAAAGAAGAUGCACAGAGGGCCAAUAAGUACCGGAAAAGUACUCAGCUUUAUUAGGGAAAUGCAAACUAAAACUGCAGUGAGGUACAUUGGAACAUGUACAUGGGACAUUCCAGGUACAUGUACAGGUACAUGGAACAUUCCAUCCCAAAACAACAGAAUACAUUUUCUUUUCUAGGGCACAUGGAACAUUCUCCAUUUUUACAUGGCUAAAAUUGAAAAGAUUGCAUUAUGAGUGUCAAGAAAAUGGAGGAACUGGCACUCCAUCUAUCAGAAUCUAAAAUGGUGUAGUCAUUUUGAAAAAACAUGGGCUCUUUCAUGACAUGGUCAUUUCUGUUUCAAGUAGUUGUUUUUAGACUCAAGAGAAAGGAAGAUAUGUGUCCGCACAAAGGCUUACACCUAAAUGUUCAGUGUAGCUUUGCUUGUAAUGGCCGCUAACAGGAAACACCUAGCUGCCCAUCAGCAGGCAAACUGAUAAACAGGCUGCAGGACGAUCUGGCUGAUGGAAUACUACUCAGCGGUGAAAAGGAAUGAGCCGGUGCUGCGUGCUCCUGGAUCAGCGAAUCUCAGGGUGAUUAUAUGCUGAGUGGAAGAAGCGAAGCAAAGGAGAUUACGUGUUGGAGGAAUCCGGUAACAUACACUCCUAGACAGCGUGUACUUGGGUGGAGUGACAGGUAAGGAAGGGUUGUGGGAGAUGAGCGAGAGAUUACAGAGUGGUAUGAGGGAACUUCCCGGGGGCAAUGGAUAAUGUUUGUGGCCUUGGCUAUGGUGAUGGUUUCAGGGUUGUAUACAUAUGUCAGAACCGAUGAACUCGUGCUGUUUAAAUGGGCACAGUUCAUUGUAUGUCAGUUACAGCUCACCAAAGCUGUUUUUUAGAAAAUCUGAAUUUAAAGCCACUUUGUUGCUUCGGAGCUGUAUAACCUUGUUGCGAAGCAGGGCUGGAGAUACCUGGCACCCGGGGUCGUUUGUGAAGAUUACAAACAUAAUGUGUGGAAUGUGCGUAAAGCCUGUAUUUGCCCAAGAUGGUGAAAGGUAGGGGAUAAUCAGGUUCAUACAGUAGGUCUCAUUCUCUCGGUCCGGUGGGGCCCUGCGUCAUUUGUGUGGGCCUCUGAGAAAAUAGAUGUAGCAUCCAGGAAAUCCAUCCUUUCUGUCCUGGAUCCGGAAUUUAUCCGGGGGAGCAUCUUCCUUGAAGUCUGACUCACAAGAGAGCUGGGAAGUAGUUUUGUGGUAGUCAAGCCAUGGAAAGUUUCUUUGGUCCAGUUUCCUGGAAAACAGAACGAACAUGGAAGACUGAAUUCUGAAGCUUUCACAAGUGGCCCAAAUUCCUUUUGUCAUGCAAUGGUGUUGCCCAGUGUGGGGUUUGAGGGUGCCCCAAACGGGAGCCUGAUUGCCGGUUGGCCCCUCUCUUUCAUUUCUCGUGUGUGCUACUGAGCAGAAGCACAAGAUCGCUAUAGCCCACUAGCUGCACGGCAACAAUUCUGAGUUCCUGGCUUUGUUAAAAUGUUUUGGGGUCUGGUCCUUUGUUUUUUGGUUGAACAGGUCGGGUUUUCAGGGAAUCACCAGCCCCAGCCUCCCGGCACCCCAGCUGCUUCUCACGUCGGCUCCGGCCCCACCACUGCCAAAUGUGCCUUCCGGGUCAGUGGCACAUUCGCCGAGGGCUUUCCUUGCCUGAUGCUCCUUGGGGGGCUUUUUAAACUUAUUUUUUAUUUUGAAAUAAUUCCAAACUCACAGAAAAGCUGUAAGAAUAGAGAUCACUUGAGAGUUGCCUAUUUGAAAUUCCAUCACCACUAAAUUCUUUAGGGAAUGUGUCCUUCUAGCAAAGGCAUUCUCCUAAACUAUCAGCUGUCAUGGGAUAACCAUUCAAAUCAGGACGUUGACACUGACAUAUGCCUUCCCUCUCAUCCACAGAACCCACUGGGGUUUGCCAGUUGUCUCAGUACUACCUCUUCUAGCCAAAGAUCCGCUGCUGGGCCAGACAGCACAUUAGUUACAUACGUUUCUUUAGGUGCCUUCCAAUGGGAAUCAUUCCUCAGCCUUUUCCUUGACUUGUAUGACCUUGACAUUUUUGAAGAUUACAGGUUAGUUGCUGAGUAAGACAGAGCUGGUAGAAAUUUGAUGUGAGUCACAUUGGUAAUUGGACUUUUCGGGGGGUGGGGGGGCCAUGUUAAAAGAGUUUGAAGGAAACAGGUUUAAUUAAUAUCCCAAAUAAUAUCAUUUCAACCUACAACAAAUAUGAAAUAGGACUCGUGAGAUCUUUUCCGUUUUCUAAUAUCUUAUCUCUGACAUCGAGGCUGGAUUUGCACUUGGGGCAUAUCUGAAUUUGGACAUGGCAUGUUGUGAACGCCAAGCUGCCACAGGCCGGCGCCUGCUGCUGUUGGGACAGUAGAGCUGCAGGCCGCCCUUCAGUUCAGGCUGGUCUGCUGCUUCCUCCCGAUUCUGUCAUGGUUGUGCCUUUGACUUUUGCAGCAGUGACACAGAAGCGGUGUCCGUGUCCUCUCAGCCUCCUAGCUGGGGUCUGACGAUGUUGGAGAAGCUGCUGUCUGCGCUGUGAGGUUACUCCUUCCUGUGUGAUGAAGAAGUGUUUGGCAGGGCGAUUCUUCAAGACAGAGUCGGUCGCUCAUACCUGCUGGCUUCGCAUCCAGUGGGGUUUCUCCCCGACGUCAUUUAUUUUGUAACGGCUGCCAGCUUGCCGUGGGCUUCUCGUCCAGAUGCCCAGCGCUCACAUUGUGUCAUUCACGGUGCUUCUUGUUACGUGUUCCUUUUGGCGGGUUCUUCUGGUGUCUUGGUCCCGAGGACAAACCGGGUAAAAUAGCUCAAAUUUUAGCUUUAAAAAAAAAAAUGAAGAUCGGACAUGAUUUCAGGGAGCAGAACAAAUAAGACAGCGUUCAAGCAGAAAAACACACAAACCUAUGGUUAACUGAAACGCACCGAAAACAGAUGGUGAGCGCAGUAGGAGAGGAGCACUGGGGUUUGGCGGGUAUUUUCCACGGUUUUCAGACCUUCUACCUGCCUUCCCAUGGCUGUGUUUGUCCUGUCUGGGUGCAGGUCUCCAUCUGCCCCGCCGUCUGGGGCCGAGUUAGGAUCCCUGCAUAUCAUUAGGUGACACGUGUUACCGGUGAGUCACCGCGCUGUGGUUGACACUUUGGUGUAGUGAGUGUUCCGUCCCAUGUGUGGUCAUGUUUGUAAGUGGCUUCUCUUUCCAGGGAGGACUCUGUGGUCAUUCGAAGCUGGGUCCCAAGCCAUUUCCCCUGUUUUUAAUGAUUUAUUGCACAUCUUUCCCCUCUGACUGGGAGCUACAGUUGAUAAGCUGGCCACCGUCCAAGCCUGCUUGCCUUCCCACUUAAUCAGCGGGGAUUAGGGAUGCGCCCAUAACUGAAAAGUGGCAGGAAAUUCGCGUGAAAAGUCACCUCUACAGUGUAACUGGGUGAAUGUUUGGACAUACAGAACUCCACAACAGGAGGCUGUUUUGUGCUUCGACAGGACUCUCUGGGCUCAGCAUGCCCCGUAAUCAUGAGGAAGCAAAUGCUACUUUCACAUCUCUGGCUCCUGCAGGACUCAAUGGGUGCAAAUCCCAGCCCGCUGUGACUGUGGCGUAGCCCCCAGUGUGGGCCGGAGCUGGUGGCCGCUGCAGAUUUCCGGAGCCGGGGCCUCUGUUGUUUCCCUUGCACUUCUAGGCGUGGACACCUUUGGUUUUGGAUUGCAUUUUGCACUGACUCCCAAGCACGAGGGAGGCUUUGUGUGGCCAGCGGAGGGCUGGGGAGGACAGAGGUUCCAGGCCGGGACUUGGAGAAGUUCUUUCAGGUUCUGAGUCCCAGCUUUCUGUUUUCAAACGGACAUCUUACCUACCUCAUGGGAAAGCCGGGAGGGUUAAACAGGGAAGCUUCUGUUGCGUGCCUGGUACAGAGUGCUUCCUGGUGCGUGCUCAGUGCGUGCUCCUCACUGCUCCUUCCCUCCUGUGUGACCCUUCCGCGUCAUCUGACCCCACAUCCUGGGGAGGAGAUGGGGUAGUGACUGUCAGAAGAUUCGUGGUGCUGAUACAUAGUGUAAUCCAGACCAUGGGGCUGAAUUUCUGGUGCUGGCAUUUUCUCCUCAAAUCCAGGAAGUGUGGUCCCUACAGCCUAAUGGAAGGGAGUCCCAAGUGUGGCCGUUGAGCUGGGGAGGGGCCUCGUGCGCAGGCAGGAGGCCCAGGUGAUGGGAGUGUAGAGCACGGCAGCGCAUGUGGGAUCACGAAGGAGUGUGGCUAAGGGUGACGGAGCCCCCAUAGCUGUGUGGAGACGGGGUGCCAGGACCCAGCCCUGUUCUGGCUGUGUAUGGGGGGCAGGGGUAGAGCACUAUGGCAGGCUUCCCAGGAGACCACGGGAAGCUGGCCCACAUUCCAGGGCUGAGGCGAAUUGGAGAAGGUGGCCAGAGUCUCCCCUCCUGGCACUGUAGGCCUGCGCACACCAUUCUGCCGGCUUGUCUGUACCUCCCGGGAACAGGGCCCUGUGCUGAGUCUGGCACGUGGACCUAAGCAAAGAGCACCCGAUUGGGCUAGGCGGGCUGCUGGUUGAGAGCUUGCUGUAGUGAGGGACGCGGGCCCCUCACUUGUGCUUUGGCAGAGACAGUGGCAGGGGGAGGAGGUGUGAGGCCAGCUGGCACCGCUUCCCGGGAAGCAAGACGCCCCGCGCUUGGUUAGGGGAGCCCAUUCGGCUUCCUGUGCCUGGCGCUAAGUUGGAAGCAGGAACCCAAAAUUAGGGAAGCCAUCAGUUACAAAGCACGUGCUGGCCUCUUGCACCAGUUACCACAGGGGCUGUUGUCGGGCCUCCGGAACUGGUGGCUAACGGUAGUGGUCUGACUUUCUAGAAGCCUGGCUCCCAGGCGGCGGGCUGGCUGCCGGGGUUGCUGACUGUAGAUGUGGGGCUGCUUCUCUGGGCUGGCGGCUGCAGAUGGUGGAUCUGAGUCCUGUUCUUACGUGUGAUCUCUGUCUGGCCUCUAGACCUCUUUUUCUUGCGCUUUGUUUUAUUGUGCUUUCUAGAUAUUGCCUUUUUUUUUUUUUUUUUUUUCCCAAGCAAAUCACAGGUUUGUGGCAACCCUGCACCAAGGAAGUCUGUCAGUGCCUUGUGCUUUUUUCCCUAGCAGCAUACUUCGUGUCUCUGUGUCACCUUCUGGUCAGUCUGGGCCAUAUGUCCAGCGUUCUCAGGAUCAUACUUGUUACGGUGAUAGGGGAUCCGUGCUUACAAGUUGCUGAAAGCCCAGAUGAUGGUUUCAGCGAUUGUGUAUUUUUAAGUGAAGGUAGGUACGUUGUUUUUUCAAAGUGCCAUUGCAUAUUGGAUAGGCAGUGUAGUGUAAGCAUAACUAUACAUGCACAGGGAAGCCAAAAAGUUCACUUGGCCGGCUUUAUCGUGAUGCUGCUUGAUGGGGGUGGUUUGGCACGAAGCCCGUGCCAUCUCUGCCAUGUGCUGCAUUCAGUCCCUCGGAAGAAUGAGUGUGACACAGUUCCAGCCUCUGAGUUACUCACGGCUCAGCCACAGCCUCUUACCUGCGGGGUCAGGGAGCACAGUGGCCCCAUCAGUCAUUGUGUCCCUUUAUGGCAGGGUCCCAGCCCACAUUGGAAUUUGGAAACUGGGACGGUCAGUGGGACGUACCUAGUUGAUGGGCACCGUUCAUUUCCCUCUGGUGUUUUAAAAAUUAACAACCACAUUAAAAAAUAAACCAAAUGGGAGAUUUCUCAUAAAAAUCCAAAGAUUGGGCAAGUGGCUGUAGCAGAGGAGUCCUCCUGCUCUCGGUGGGACACAUGACAUCCGCGUCACCCACUGCAUCCGCUCUUGUCCCCAUCUGGGCUUGUCCCCAUCGGGGCUUCUGCCUGGCCUGUGUGGGCCUCCGAUUCUGUCCAGACCGGCCAGCUUGGGUUAGCUACAGCCCGGGGAGGGGGAAGCUCACCCGCCAGGGAUAGACCAGAGCCACUUUGUGUCUAGCGGAUGGGCCGUCAGCCCCCACAGACCCCCUUCAGCUACUCCCGGAAGGUCCCUUGGAGGGAAAGUAGGGGGUGUGGGAGUCGGGGCCGCCUCUCGUCUCCACGGUAGAUGGCCCACCUGUGUUCAAAGGCUCAGAUGAAGUGAAAUGCACAUUAAUAGCAUCAGCAGUCAAGUUCUGCUGAAAGGCUUAAUUUUCUGUGAUGACUCACGUUGUAAUUCGGGAUGCUGCCUGCCCCGGCCCCUUUGUGACAGAGGGAGCACUCCUCUGUUGCCAAUCGGAGCACUGAUCCACAGAGCUCUGGCGAGGGGCCGGGCUGACGGGUGGUGGGUUUACUGCACACACAGAGACGGUCGGCACACAAGCCGUCACCAGCCCGGUAGUGUUGUCGUAGGUCUUAGACCCUUGGUGCCUGUGGCCGGGAUGCCAGAACUGUGCCCAGCAGGGUGAAAGAAGUUCUGUGUGCUGCCAUUCGAAGGAAGGCCCAAGGAGCAGACGCUCUAACUAAAGUUAGAUUAAAAAACAAAAAACUUUGUGUACUUGGAAAUGGCUCUCUAAGCAACAGAUUCAGGAAGAGUCCGUUAUUCAAAGCCUGUUCCCCACAACGUCCCCUAUACCGUUAGCGGGCUGAGCUCAUCUGCCAUGUUUCCCUUCUUGGAGUCAAAAACUUGAGGAUCAAGGCGUCAGGUCACAUGGUUGAUGAAGAUUGAGAUCUUUUUUUUUUUUUUUUUAACCCUUAAAUGGGAAAAGUCCAACAGAAACGUAGGAUGAUACAGUGAAGCCCAUCGCCCAGCUAACAUGGCAACUCGUGACUAAUCUUGCUUUAUCUGCACAUCUGCUACCUCCUUAAAUGCAUAUUAUUUUGAAGUAAUUCUCAAGACAUUGUUGCGUAUCUAAGCAAAACUUUUUUCUCUGAAUGAACGCUCAAGUCCUUUGUCACCAAAAGCUUAAAGGCCAGACACCACAGUUCCAGUGUGUACUUCGUCGCUCGCCGGCCCUGGGAUCUUGGGUCAGCCCCGCAGCUCCGUGACUCACCAUGUCCUCUGUAGGAGCGCCCAGACUGCUGUGUCCCAGCUCGCCUCUGUGGCUGCUCACGAGGCCCUGAUGAGAUCACGAGGGGGUGGAAGCGGGGUGCACGGUGAGCUGACGCACAGAUGCAGAGGACUGCACGUCGAACGUAGUUGCCACAUGAAAGGCCGCUCGCUCCCUCCCUGCUCUUCCGGGGCCGGUCACGGACCAGACUUCAGAAGCGGCAUUGUUGCCUGUUCCCGUCUUUCUCCCGCGUGGCUGAGUGUCUGCAGAGCCCUUUUCCUAGGAGUUGAUCGGAAGGUCACAGGCUGAGAUGUGACCACUUGUACAGCUUCUCUGGCCCCGUGUCCCUGCCCGCCAGCCUUUCCCAGUCCAAGCCCCCCCCACCCCUCGGCCUGGUGUGCCCCAGCUCUCAGGUCCGAUCCAGGGCCUGGCCCGCUCCCUCCUCAGUGCCGCGCGGGUGGGCGACCAUGCCGGCCCCAGCAGGUGAGGGGCCUGUCAGAGGGCGAGUUGGCCCACAAGUGGUUUGGUCCCUUGGGGUCUUAUUUUUUGCUCUUAUUUCCUCUGCCUAAAAAUAGCACAUUCUAUCUAUAGUUGCCUGGUUUGGAACAAAACGGUUUGUUGCUUAGAAGUUAGGGCAGCAAAUUUCCUGAACGCCCGCCGCCCCAGUGUGUGGGGAGCCCCUGUUUCUGGUAGCCUGCUGGGAAGCAGGGACCCUGAUUAGCAAGAAGAGGGCUGUUGGUUGAACCAAAAUUGACUUUUAAUAGAAAAGGAGAGAAUAUAUACGGCAGUGGCCAUAUAUAGCAGUCUCUCAGAAUGAAGCAGCCGCUUGUCCGCGGAACAGUGUCCCCUUUUGUGGGCUGCUUCCCCAGCCCGUGGAGUGCCCCGAGUCCCCUUUCUUUAAUUGUCCCAUCGAAAGGGCAUUUCCUGCUAAAGAAAAAGCCGUUCUGUCCUCUCCUGGGCCUUGGCCUUUCAGCCCCCACAGGUAGGGCAUGUGUUCCCAGGAGCGGUUGCUCUGUUCUGGGGAGGCCCUGUGGCUUCGUGCGCCGGGCUCGGGCAGGCCGGCAGGGGUUGGGCAGGCCUGGGUGCCCUUGCUAAGUGAUGGGGACUCUCCCUAAGCCUCUCUCAUAUCAAGGUGAUAUUCGUGACUCGCAGUCGCUGGUACUGAUGAUGUGAGGCGACGAGUGAACAGUGCCCCGCACGCACUCCUGUGAAUCACAGCGCGGGCUUGCAGGCUCGCUGCUUGUAGCUCGUCUGCAGUGACUUCGCCCCAGCCUCCAAGGAAGGCCCAGGGACACCCUGCUCCCAAGACGAGAGGAGCCAGGGGCUCCAAAGGGCUGUAGACCUCUGCUUGGCUUAGACAUGGGGCUGCGCGCCCUGCGGUGGAGGUUUCCUGCUCUCAGAGGGGAGACAGUGCUGGUGGGCCCAGGGACUUGCUUGUCACAGCUUCUUGGAGCAGGUCCUCCCGUUGUGCUGACCGCAGGGCUGAUCGGAAGCAGGCACCCCGCCUCUGAUCCCGCUCAAACCGCACAAAUCUGGCAACUUUGAUACUUAGCAGAAGCCUGUCUUUUUUCUCGGUGGGUUUGGGGUGCUGAAGGGAGGAGUGAGGUUCUUGAUUCUCUUAAGUCAUCAACAUGGUGGGACUAAGACCGGAAGUAAUCGCCUCCAAAGUGCGUGGUUCAGACUUUCGUCUCAGGCGCUGCAUCAUGACCGGAGCCUUACAGGGUACUGGGGCCCGAGGGAUCCUCCGCUCCUCCUCCGGCCCAGGGCGUUCGGACAGAUCUGCCGGCUAGAGCUUCUCCGCUGCGGCUUCAAGAGCAGGGCAGGGCGCGGGGGCGCGGCUGUGCCCACAGCUCCUCAGAAGACUGGAGGUCUGGAAGCCCCCAUCCGCUGUGCCCGUGACACUUGAUGGGCCUGUUGGGAAGCUGGGUACCAACCAAACAACCCCAGUUCCGGCUGCCUUUAAAAGAACCAUGUCGGAAGGGCACUGGGGACAGAGACACAUAGGACUGGUUGACAGCCGGGGGCCAGGCUGGGGAACGUGCAGGACCCAGAGGGCACCAGGACGUGGGACAACCUUCUGGCCAAAGCCAUCUUCCCACCUUCCCACCUCUUGGUGGCUGAGCUGGAACCACCUUGAGCUCUCUUGUUGUCCCUUCUGGAUUGAGGGGGUCCAUCCGAUAGGCUGCGGCCACUCCUCCUGACCUCAGAUUGGGGCCUUCAGCUCCCUGCCUUCCAGUUCUCUGGAUAUGGGUAUCUGGAAUUAUUUUCUCCCCAAAUCAUACUUUUGAAGAAAG